rnacentral:rRNA from 1 species
UACGUAGGGGGCAAGCGUUGUCCGGAAUUACUGGGUGUAAAGGGUGAGUAGGCGGCAUGGUAAGCCAGAUGUGAAAGCCUUGGGCUUAACCCGAGGAUUGCAUUUGGAACUAUCAAGCUAGAGUACAGGAGAGGAAAGCGGAAUUCCUAGUGUAGCGGUGAAAUGCGUAGAUAUUAGGAAGAACACCAGUGGCGAAGGCGGCUUUCUGGACUGAAACUGACGCUGAGGCACGAAAGCGUGGGGAGCGAACAGG